rnacentral:misc_RNA from 1 species
UCUCCUCCCCUUCGUCUUCUCCAAGUACAAGUAUGGCUGUAGAUCUAUGGAAACAACUGAAAGAUUCAAUCACACCUCUCUCCGACAACCUAUUUUACUUUAUACUAUGUUGUCUCGGAGAUUUCUGGUUUACCUGAUCAUGAUCACUAUCACAGAUUUCGAGGAAGAGAUGCCACCCACAAUUCAACUCGGAGAGAAAUCUGAAGAGGAAUUGAUGGGUCUG